rnacentral:rRNA from 1 species
UUCCGGUUGAUCCUGCCGGAGGCGACCGCUUUGGGAGUUCGAUUAAGCCAUGCGAGUCGUGAGUCUUAGGGACUCGGCAUACUGCUCAGUAACACGUGGAUAACGUGCCCUAUCGUCUGGAAUAACCUCGGGAAACUGAGAAUAAGGCCGGAUAGUUCACAAUGCCUGGAACGGUUUGUGAAUCAAGGUAGGAUGGGUCUGCGGCGUAUCAGGUUGUAGGGGGUGUAAAGGACCCCCUAGCCUUCGACGCGUACGGGUGUUGGGAGACAUAGCCCGGAGAUGGAUUCUGAGACACGAAUCCAGACCCUACGGGGUGCAGCAGGCGCGAAAACUUCACACUGCAGGAAACUGUGAUGAGGGAACUCCUAGUGCAUGCACUAUGUGUAUGUAGAUCCUACUCUUAACAAGUAGAGGGAAAGGGCUGGGAAAGACCGGUGCCAGCCGCCGCGGUAAUACCGGCAGCUCAAGUGGUCGUCGCUUUUAUUGGGCCUAAAACGUCCGUAGCCUGUUUGGUAAAUCUGUGGGUAAAUCAAUCCGCUCAACGGAUUGAAUUCUGCAGAGACUGCCAGACUAGGGACCGGGAGAGGUGUGGGGUACUCGAGGGGUAGGGGUAAAAUCCUGUCAUCCUUCGAGGACCACCAGUUGCGAAGGCGCCACACUGGAACGGAUCCGACGGUCAGGGACGAAGCCUAGGGGCACGAACCGGAUUAGAUACCCGGGUAGUCCUAGGUGUAAACGCUGUGAACUUGGUGUCGGGGGUCCGCAAGGGGUCCCCGGUGCCGGAGUGAAGAUGUUAAGUUCACUGCCUGGGGAGUACGGUCGCAAGGCUGAAACUUAAAGGAAUUGGCGGGGCAGCAC